rnacentral:rRNA from 1 species
UACGUAGGGUGCAAGCGUUAAUCGGAAUUACUGGGCGUAAAGCGUGCGCAGGCGGUUUUGUAAGUCUUUCGUGAAAUCCCCGGGCUCAACCUGGGAAUUGCGAUGGAGACUGCACGGCUAGAGUGUGUCAGAGGGGGGUAGAAUUCCACGUGUAGCAGUGAAAUGCGUAGAUAUGUGGAGGAACACCGAUGGCGAAGGCAGCCCCCUGGGAUAACACUGACGCUCAUGCACGAAAGCGUGGGGAGCAAACAGG